GCCUUGGUACAUAAGGGUUCUUGUCCGGACUUAAAAUCCGCCGGCCGCGAGGCCAUGCCGGUUCGAUUCCGGCUCCGGGCA
rnacentral:tRNA from 1 species